AGCAGCAGCCGGGUAAUACGGAGGGCGCGAGCGUUACCCGGAUUUACUGGGCGUAAAGGGCGUGUAGGCGGCCUGGGGCGUCCCAUGUGAAAGGCCACGGCUCAACCGUGGAGGAGUGUGGGAUACGCUCAGGCUAGAGGGUGGGAGAGGGUGGUGGAAUUCCCGGAGUAGCGGUGAAAUGCGCAGAUACCGGGAGGAACGCCGAUGGCGAAGGCAGCCACCUGGUCCACUUCUGACGCUGAGGCGCGGAAGCGUGGGGAGCAAACCGGAUUAGAUACCCCUGUAGUCCCUGUCUCUUAUACA
rnacentral:rRNA from 1 species